ensembl:lncRNA
GCCCAUCCUCAUCCCUGCGCCUCGGUUUCACAUCCACGGGAGGGGCUUUCCCUUGGUGCCAUCCCCGGGUCCUGUCCGCGCAGGUGGCUGAGCGCAGGAGGCACUGGAGCGGGUGUGCCGCCCCGCCCGUCCCGCGCCCGGGCACCGAGAACCCACGUGAUUUCCCAGCAGAGGCAGCCGGCUCCGAGAGCCCGCCGCCGGGCUACUCCGCGCCUGCUUUCAGUUUCAAGUGGAGCGCGGCGAAGUCGGGAGCGCAGCCGCCUCAGAAUGACCAUGUGAAGUGGAUGCAGAGUCAUCACCCCAUUUGCAGAUGAGGAACUGGAGGCACAGAGGAGUUAGGAAACUUGCCCUAGGUUGCACAGCACAUGUUGAAAUCAGGAUUUGCACCCAAGCCUCCCGACCCCUUAUCAGCUCCACCAGUCCCUGUAAGACGGGCUGGUAUUAACCCUACUUGAGGUACAAGUGAGUUACAGCUCAGAGAGGGCAGGGACUUGCCUAGUAUCACCCAGCAAAUCAGUUUGGGGCAGUGAAGCUCAGAACUGAGGCUCCAACCAAUGAUCACUAACCUCCAGCCCUCUCCCCAAGCCUUUCUUCUGCCCACAUUUCGUGUGCCUGGGCACUGCCACUUGGCAUGGGAGGACAUAGGUCAGCUGAUCCAGCCUGGAAGUAGAACUCCUCUUCUGACUUCAAAGAGUGCAGCUUUCUGGUCACUGAUCUUCUGUCUUCUUUCACUUUCAAAAAAAUGUUUUCAGCUUAAACCACACAGGUAAUAUAUGAUUAAAUUCGCUUUGCGAACAGCUGGAUGCCAUGUCAGGUGCCUAUAUCUCCAUUACUCACUUCUUCCCGCCCCAGGCCAGUCCUCUCCUAGUUUGAGAUAACCAGUUUGGUGUGUUGCCUUCCAGAACUUUAUCUAAGGCUUUGCAUUAAAAAACAAACACACAAGGGGAUUCCCUGGAGGUCCAGUGGUCAGGACUCUGCGCUCUCAAUGCAGAUCCCACAAGCCAUGUUGUACAACUGAAAAAAAAAACCCCAAAACCAACAAUUAAAAAAAAAAAACCCAAAACACUUCUAUUGGGCUCACUAACUGCAAGGCCUUGUUUUAAGCACUUUACAUGUAUUGACACAGUCCCAACCCUGUGAGGUAGAUACUGAAGUUAUCCUUGGUUUAUUUAUUUUCAUUUAUUUUUUUUAUUUUUGGCUGUGCUGGGUCUUUGUUGCUGUGCGCACAGGCUUUCUCUGGUUGCGGCGAGUGGAGCCUAGUCUUCACUGUGGUCCGAGGGUGUCUCAUUGCAGUGGCUUCUCUUGUUGCAGAGUGUGGGCUCUAGGGCUCAAGGGUUCAGUAGUUGUGGUACCUGGGCUUAGUUGCCCCGAGGUAUGUGCAUCUUCACAGACCAGGCACUGAACCUGCAUCCCCUGCAGUGCCUGCCGGACUCUUAACUACUGGACCACCAGGGAAGUCCUAUCCUUGUUUUAUAGAUGAGAACACUGAAGCCUAGAGAGGCUAUACAAUUUGCCUGAUGCCGCACAGCCUGCAGAUGAUGAAAUGCUUAGUUCCAAGCUAGACAGCUGGCUCCAAAAUUCAUGCUCUUAACCUCUAAGUUAUAAAAACAUGGGAUUACAGACCUGGAUGAAGACAUACAGUGUUGGUGCUUUGUUUUCUAUGUAUUCUUCAAACAAAUAGUAUCAUAUUAUGCAUAUCAUUAUUCAUGUGUCUUGUUUAUUCAGUUAAUACAUAUAAGGAUCCAGCCAUGUCAGUGGUCUUCAUGCCCAUAACCCAGAGGUAUGGUCACACCAACCUUAUUGAGAUAUCAGUUGGUCAAACACGGCUGCAGGAUUUCCUUAUCCAGUAUGCUCUGCGUAUUCCAGGCUGUGUGGCUCUCCCUGGGCUUCCUGCCAAGCAGUUUGGUUAUAGAGUCAAAGGGUGGACACAUUUAGGUUUUAGAAAUUGCCUCCAAUUUGCCUUUGGAAGUGGGCAGACCAAUCUCCAGGCUGUGAAUUUGAACCUCAGGAUCUAAUUUCUCCGCUUUACAUCUUGAGCCUUCUUUGCCCCCCAAACCAGCACAUAAUUCCUCCGGGAUCCUCUUCAACCACAUGGUUGGAGAUGAAAAAGGGAUUUCCAGAUCUCAGCUUCAUUUUCGGUUUGGUGUGGACAUGGGAGGAGUUGGCAGGGCCACAAGGUGCCAAGGUGCAGGCCAGAGGCGGAAGUGCAGGAGGAGCGGCAGUUUUCAGCAGGCACCCUCAGGGUCCCAUCUAAAUGCGGCCAUCUCGGUGGCCUUCCUGUCCCCAGCCUCUCGAAAGCAAGAAGUCUCGGCUCUGCUGGGGAAGCAAGGCGCCGGGUACAAGGGAACAUGAAGCCUCUCUGCCCACCUGGAGUGGAGCGCUGGGUGGCAGCAUGGCCUAGAAUAGUAGUCCCCAAGCUCAGCUGGGUUGCUUCCAAAGGUGCCUGUGUCCCACCCUCAGAGACUGUGCUGUGAUUAAUCUGGGGUGCAGCCCACUGGAAUUUUUAAAACCCCGGAUGACUCUAACAUGUAGGCAGGUUUGGGACCCACUGGCCCUCCGGAGGCCCAGGACCCUGUUGGGAAGGAGCCUUCUCACCGGCCACUUCUGGUGGGUGCUGGACCCAAACCGCCAGGGCUGAGUGGAAAAGGCAAGAUCCCUCCCUGGCCACCUGCUGUCCACGUUUCGGAGAAGGGUACACCUGGAAACCCCAGGCGGUCUUUUGGUGGAGAGUCUGAGCUGUCUGAGCAGGAAGUCGGCCGGAAUAAAGGAGGCAGUUUCAGUUCUAGUGAUGGGGGCUGGGAGCCAGAUUCCUGGUUUCUAGUGACAAGAAGAGAGAGUCGCUGCUGGAUUUAGAACAGGGGCCACCCAGGCCCGGGGCUCAGAGUGCAGGCUCGUGCCACCCUCCUCAAAGACUUUGAGACAAGAAGAUGCUUCCUCAGCUCCCAGCUCUGUAUCCUUCUAGCUGGUGAUGUGGGGAGGGCCCCUCACUGCUGGGAGCCUUGGUUCCUUUUUCUUUUUUAAAUUCGUUAAUUUGGCUGUGUCAGGUCUUAGUUGUGGCACUCGGGAUUUUUGAUCUUUGUUGAGGCAGGUGGGCUGUUAGUUGUGGCACGUGGGAUCCAGUUCCCUGACCAGGUAUCAAACCCGGGCCCUCUGCACUGGGAGCAGGGAGUCUUGGCCACUAGACCACCAGGGAAGCCUUGGGCCUCGGUUUCUGCUUUGGUAAGACAUAUGGGGGUGCGUGUUAAGUCCUGCAGGACCCUGUCAUUGUGAGGGACAAUAAAGAUGAUGGCUUUCAAAAGAAAUCACCCCCAUCGCACACCCUCCCCCCACGCCCACCCCAUGGAAAUGUGCCGGGUCAAGGACCCCUCUUGCCCUCUCUGCCCACUUUUAUGGAUGAGGGA